AAAAAAUUAUAGAGGAAGGUCGUCAAUACCGCUAUAUCAUUUUGUUUGAGAUAUUUCUUAAACAAAAACUAAAAAUAAAAUUUUUUAAAUAUAAACUAGAAAACGUUUUCUAUCAGAGAGAUGAUGCAGUUUUUGAUAUUAACAAAAUAAGUAUGAUCAAUCAACGAACAUAGAAAAUAAGUUAGAACAAAACAAUAAUGAUGGCACGACUUUUAUUAUAUUGUUGCACUCGCGGCGCAUUUCCGGUUCGCGUAACUCGCCGCGCGCACAUGAGCACUUAUUGAAGCACCAAAAGAACUUUCGUCGUUGAAGUAGAGAAUACAAGUUUUAUUAGAAUUAGAACAGGAAAAUACAGGGACAGAUAAUCUCAAGCGUCCGAACAUCACAAGAGAUCCGCGAAAAUAACGUCAUCAACGAGCGACACUCUCUUAUUCGAUAUCGAUUUCUUCAAUCAGCUGUUCAAUACUGGGAUGACAGAAAUUUACGAGGUCACGGGUGCAACAAUAUUAUGAAAAUAUGAAACAUGCAUUUGCCUGGGAAACAGUUUUCUUCGUGUUGCCUUUAGGUUGCGGUAUACGAAGGGAUUAGCAUCUUUAUUAUAGCAACGUGAUUGCAACCAAAGGAAAAUUUGUAGUAGUAAAUAUUUCUCUUCAUGUACCAGGAGUGUAUUGCUGGGUAGAUGCAUAAAUUACAACAAACCGGAAUAAAGAAAGAAAUGCGAACCGAGAAGAAAACUGAUGUUUUGGUUUUUUAGGUCUUCACUUAAUUCAGAAUAACAUUCUUAUAGAUUGAUCACAUAAAAAAACAUUCAGGCCGUACACUUUCAUAUUUAUUUAAUCACUCUCUUUACCAUAAAAUAGGAAUAAUUUAUAAGAACAUUGGUUUUUGUAUUGAUACUAGAAAACGGUUACUUGCUUAACACUAUGUGUAAGGCACCUGAGUAAUCGCUGCAGUCAUAUUGAAAUUGUAAUAUCAUAAACGAGAAAUCACGUUUGAAAAUUUUUUAAGUGCCAUUUGUAAAUAAAGAGAAUUUGAAUAAUACAAA